CUUUCUUUGCUGGCGACCGGCGCACGGGUGAGUAACACGUAUCCAACCUGCCCUUUACUCGGGGAUAGCCUUUCGAAGAAAGAUUAAUACCCGAUAGCAUAAUGAUUCCGCAUGGUUUCAUUAUUAAAGGAUUCCGGUAAAGGAUGGGGAUGCGUUCCAUUAGGUUGUUGGUGAGGUAACGGCUCACCAAGCCUUCGAUGGAUAGGGGUUCUGAGAGGAAGGUCCCCCACAUUGGAACUGAGACACGGUCCAA
rnacentral:rRNA from 1 species